rnacentral:rRNA from 1 species
AGCAGCCGCGGUAAUUCCAGCUCCAAUAGCGUAUAUUAAAGUUGUUGCAGUUAAAAAGCUCGUAGUUGAAUUUCGGGAUUGACACAUCGGUCGUGCCUUAAGGGGUAUGAACUGGUGUAGUCAAUUUCUCACCUUCUGGAGAACCGCGAUGCCCUUAAUUGGGUGUCGCGGGGAACCAGGACCUUUACUUUGAAAAAAUUAGAGUGUUUAAAGCAGGCAUUUUGCUUGAAUACAUUAGCAUGGAAUAAUAAAAUAGGACGGCAUGAUUCUAUUUUGUUGGUUUCUAGGAUCACCGUAAUGAUUAAUAGGGAUAGUUGGGGGCAUUAGUAUUCAAUUGUCAGAGGUGAAAUUCUUGGAUUUAUUGAAGACUAACUACUGCGAAAGCAUUUGCCAAGGAUGUUUUCAUUAAUCAAGAACGAAAGUUAGGGGAUCGAAGACGACCAGAUACCG